ACUGCAUGUAAUCACAAUUAUUUUAUCAAUUGCCAGUUUUGAGAUAUUUAUGCUAUUAAAAUUUUUUUCUUUUAUAAUGUUUUAAUGAACAUUCUUGUAAUAAAUAUUUGUACUUAUCCAUGAUUACGCAUUUAGAAUAUAUUUGUAGAAGUGGAACUGGGUCAAUGUAGACUUUAAAAUUUUAAGGCUUUUAUUGAAUACUUCUAAACUGCUUUUCAAAAUGGUUCUAUCAAUUUAUAUAAAAUGUUAAGUAUAUAACAUUUUAGAUAAUUAUAUAAAUUAUAAUUAUAUAUAUGUAAUUAUAUAUAAGAAUGCCCCCUCCACCCGAAAUGAGUUGUCAUAAGAAAAUAAAAUUUUUGCCAAUCUGCUAGGUUAAAAAAAAAAA
rnacentral:lncRNA from 1 species